rnacentral:lncRNA from 1 species
CUUUAGCAAAGUUCUGCAGAAAAAAUGGUAAUAAUUUCUAUUUCUGUUUGCAGAGGACCGGGAUUCGGAAGUUCGAAAACAGGAUGCUGUCAUUAGUAAGUGUCAUUCUUCCUCUCUGAGAAAUGCGAUGCUUGGGGGUCACGAGCAGGAUGAUGUUGCUGCUACUGUUUUGGCUUAGUAUUUUGGUAGAAAUACCAUAAAUUAAUUGAAUUAAGUAAAAAAAAAAAGGUGAAUUAAGAGUCAUGAGGGUAUCUGCCCAUGUUAGAGGAUUUGGUUACCUUGACUUCCCCCGUCAAGACCCUCUCAUAUCCUUGGGAAGGAAAAACACUGAUGAGAACAAAUUUUAUUUUCUCCUUUUUAAGGAAAACUAACGGAGGAGCUUGGUAAGGCAUUUUUAUUCCUUUUACAAAACUGAUUUGGGAUUUUUUUGGUGGGUUUUUUUGUUUUUUCUUAUAAUUUGGGUUGGCUGGUUGUAUAUAGUUUUUGAGAUAACUGUAGAAGCAAGAUGGUGAAAGGGCUACUGCAGGUGACUUAAAAAUAAAAUAGUACCAGAUAACAGUAACGCACAAAAAAAAAUAGCAAUGGAAUAGAAAUGAGCUCGUAUCCUGAUACAAAAAUCUGCGGUACAAAAAGAAAAUCUGUGUUUCACCUUUUUCUUUUUCUCUUUUCUUUUUGUUAGAGGAAUUAAAGGAUCGGAAAGCUGAUGAGUCUUCUGAGGAGCUUGAGGAGAGUGAUACAGAAAGGGACAAACUCACCGAAGAACUUGGUAAGUAGUUUCCUUCCUUCACCAACACGAAAUACUCAACAUUUAUUUUCACCUUUUCUGUUGAAUUUGAGUUUGGUCAGAAGCUUUGUGGUCUGUUAUCACAACAAAUGGAUGCAGCGGACGUCAGCAAAGUAUAAUACUGAAAAAUUUAAAAAGGAACUGAAUUUUACAUCAUGA